GCCUACGGGGCGCAGCAGUGAGGAAUAUUGGUCAAUGGGCGGGAGCCUGAACCAGCCAAGUCGCGUGAGGGAAGACGGUCCUAUGGAUUGUAAACCUCUUUUAUAUGGGAAUAAAGUUUUCCACGUGUGGAAUUUUGUAUGUACCAUAUGAAUAAGGAUCGGCUAACUCCGUGCCAGCAGCCGCGGUAAUACGGAGGAUCCGAGCGUUAUCCGGAUUUAUUGGGUUUAAAGGGAGCGUAGGUGGAUUGUUAAGUCAGUUGUGAAAGUUUGCGGCUCAACUGUAAAAUUGCAGUUGAAACUGGCAG
rnacentral:rRNA from 1 species